GCAGGGAUCAGUAACUCAGAUAAUUCUUACCUACUUCAGUGCCAGCGUAGGGCCCUCCAGGCAGACGUGGAGAAGCACUUUGUUUUAAAUAGGAGGGUUUCCUGGUUGUAGCUGCAGCCACCUAGUUUUGUUAAACUACACAACGCACAGGUUUUGGGUUUGGCAUUAUUCACAAUUCUGAGCAAUUCUAUGCAACUCGUAGUUCCUGUUGUUCUUUUGUGUUAGCUGCCAAAAGUUCACGGGGCUGGGCUGGGUGACUUGACCGACGUGAGACGGGAUUAAUCAUAACGUGGACAGAUCUUAUUUUGCUUCAUGUGUCGUGUGUGUGUGUGUGUGUGUAUAUAUAUAUAUAUAUAAAUAUCUUUUCCCAGUGCGCCCAACUGACAGUGUUUAAAUCCCAGACUAAGACUGAUCUGCACAAGCUAAUUAUGUGGCUAUCUGGGCACUUGAUGUCACUCCGGGUUUGUCGGGCUCCCCUUCCUCCCUGCCCUCACAAGAGCUGGGAAACUUUCCCUCACUAAAAGGUUCCUAGUGUUUUUGCACAACAGGUCAUACAAGCGAGAAAGACACUGCACUGUGUGUGUGUGUGUGUGUGUGUGUGUGUGUGUGUCAACGCAUGUGCUAGGGAUGUGCGUGCCGAGGCCCCGUCCUGCUGGCCCGUGUCCCUCCCCAGACUGCGGCUGGGUGCAGACCUCGCUGUUCAGAUGGACUGCAGGUUCUCACUUCAAAACUAUGGAAUGGAGGUUUUAGCACCUUUAAAAAAAAAAAAAAGAUAAAUAACCUAGUCUUUUAAUUUAUAAGCGGUAUGCUGACAGGCUGGCGCCGAGGGUCUCGUUGUCUCCGCACGCAGGGCGCAGGUAGCUGUUCUAAGAGGCACUGGUCUGUGUAUAAAGAUACUUGGCUUGUUUUGUAUCUCUUUUCCCGGUGGCUGUCCUAGCACUUGCUGAGGUCAUCAGUGAUAAGGGAGGUGACGAAUGAGCGGCAACUCCCCCCCCCACCACACCCUCCACCGCUUUGUGUCUUUCUUGUUCAGUUACCAAAACAGCUGUAAGCCCAUCUAAAACUAGGUGCGUGGACAUUGUGCUAGGGUAGUUCCAGUGUGUCAACUUUAUGAAUUGAAAUAUAAACCAGUAAAAUUGUAUUACUAUUCCUUUUGUUGGUUUUAUUUUAACAGCAUAUUCAUUAAAUAUUUUGGUACAAAGAGCAUCACUUUGUAGAAACCGGUUUCAUCAUUAUGUGCUCCUGUCCCGUUUCCCCCGCUUCCACACGCAGCCCGAGAAGAGCAGCCUCCGUGCUGGCAGGUGGGUGCACUUGGGCCUCAGGCGCCCCCCACCUGCGCCCCGCGGCUCCGGUGUGCCGGCUCUGCAGGGGUGCGGCAAGACCAGCUGCUCCUCUGCGAGGCUGACGCCUGCGCCUCGGCCUCCGCGGCAAACAUGGAUCCCCCUCUGGGAAAUCAAGGGCCAUGGUUACAGGGCAGAGACAGGAGGUGGAAUUCCAGACCUAAAAUGUGACUGUUCGGGAGAAGUAGCCAGGGUCCAGUUCUCUGCUGCAGCGUUCAGGGAGAGGCGGCACGGACGACACAUCUGCAGGAAGAAGAGCAUUCUCCCCAACCUGAGGUUCUCCUCGUGUGACCCGCCCUCCAGGACCCUUCUACACCUGGCCUCGGAUGGAAAUGGGCUGAGCUGCAGGCCGCAAAGAAGGAAAGGCGGUGAGUGAAGCCCCUGUCUUGUCUGCUGUCCACUGCACUGAAGCCUGGCGAGUGCCCGGAGAGGCCUGGGCCGUGGCAGGUGCUCAACAGCAGCCAGAACAGUGGCUCCAGAGCAC